rnacentral:misc_RNA from 1 species
AAGUCGUAACAAGGUUUCCGUAGGUGAACCUGCGGAAGGAUCAUUAAAGAGAAAGGGGCUAAACACCCCGACCUCCAACCCUCUGUUGUUAAAACUACCUUUGUUGCUUUGGCGGGACCGUUUUCGGUUUCCAACCGGGCCGCCGGGCACCUUUCACGGGUGUCAAGGCGAGUUCCCGCCAGAGUUAAACCAAACUCUUGUUAUUUAAACCGGUCGUCUGAGUAAAUUUUUUUGGAAUUAAAUCAAAA